rnacentral:lncRNA from 1 species
AGGUAUAUGUGUAUGUACAGGUAUGUGUGUGCAUGCAGGUAUGAGCAGGCAUGCAUGUAUAUGUGUGUAUGCAGGUGUGUGUGUGCAGGUGUGAGCAGGCAUGUAGGUAUAUGUGUGUAUGCAGCUGUUUGUGUGCAAGUAUGUGUGCAUCCAGGUGUAUGUGCGUAUGCGUACAGGUGUGUAUGCAAAUGUAUGUGUGUGCUAGUGUAUGUUCAUGUGUGUGUGUGCAGAUAUAUGUGUAUGUGUGCAUGGAGGUGUGUUUUUGUGUAUUUGGGUGUGCGUGCUGUUAUGUGUGUUUGUGUAGGUAUAAGUGUAUAUACAGGUAUCUGUGCAGGUGUGUGUGUGUGUGUGUACAGGUAUGAGUAUGCAUACAGGUAUAUAUGUGUAUAGGCAGGUACGAAGAUAUGUGUGUAUGUGCACAGCACACCAUGUGACAAGAGGCAGGAAGUUUAUGCAUGUUCUGAUUUCCUCUAGUUAUUAAGACACCAAUAUCCUACCACCUGUUAUAUUAGUGUAUGUGUGUACAGGUGUGUGUAUUUGUGCUGGUCUUUAUAUAGGUGUGUUCAGGUAUGUGUGUAUGUGUGUGU